rnacentral:lncRNA from 1 species
AUGCUGACAAAUAAAUUUGAGAAAGAACUUCAGGAAUUAUCAAAGCUUCUUCAAGACAGAAACUCUACAAUGGAGAAAUGUUUCCAGCAAGAGAAAGAGGCGUUUAUGAAACAGCACGAAGAAGACUUGGAGAAAAUAGCAGAGUUGCAGAAGUGCAGAGAGCAGCUGGAGGCAGGUCUCAAGGAGAAAGAAGAGACACUUGAAGCUGUCAUGACCAGGCUGCAGGAUGCCCAGAAUGAGCUUCAAAGAGAGGUGGGGAGAGCAUGUGAGAUCACCCUGUGGCAACUGGCCAAAGGCACAAAGGCAUUUGCAGAGGCUGCACUCCUGUCUUUGGACUGUGAGGGAAGCUUCUGUGAUGCUCAUACUUUUAAAUUUUAG